rnacentral:tRNA from 1 species
GGUUCUUUAACUCAGUUGGUAGAGUGAUACCAUGACAUGGUAUAAGUCGGCAGUUCGAGCCUGCCAAGAACCACCA